CCCUCCCCUCCCCUCCUCCUCCUCGCCAGCUUAAAAAAAAAUUGUAAAUCGUAGGUCGAGCUGAACUGCUGAAGUUAACUAUAUACCUUUGCGUGAGAGAGAGUUGGGAUUACCUAACUAACUCACCUUGCAAUAACCAUUCUAGCAUUUCCCAUUUUAUCAAAAGAGAAAUGAGGCUUAGCUUAGUGGGAGGCUGCUGGGAGCACAAUCCAAAAUCAUAGAGGUCAGAAUAGUCUAUAGAUGGUGGUGCAUUUUAAUUGGACUUCACAGGACCAGAUAGGGUAGGUCUAACUACUUUUUUCUUAGAUUAAUUUCUUAUUUUACCGCUCAUUGUAGUUUACAAUAAUCAGUUCUUGGAUGAACAAGCGUUGAAAAUCUAUGUUGGAAGUGAUUUCUGGAACAAUCAUUCACCACUGGCUAUCUAAAAAGUAUAGGAAUAACUGUUGUGCUAUUUCUUUUCCCAAAAAAUGUAAGGGGGAAGAGAAAAAGACAAGAAGAGGAUAGUCGUCGUCAAAUUUAUAUCUCAAAAUAAGAUUGUUCUAGUUUCUAAUUCAAGUUAUGUAACUGUUCCAUAGGCACCGGAGCAAGUAAACUAAUGUCACAUACAGCCUUACAAAAAUUAUCUAUAUUGCUUGUUAUGAUGAUUUUAUUUUUUCACUAAUUCCUCAAUUUUGUUUUUGGAGAUUUAGAUUACAAACUGCUAGUUAGCUCAUAUGAUGUUGCAUUUCUAGCCUCAUUUACUAAUUGUGUUAUUAUUUUUGGUUAAUCUGCAUUGCGCUCAGUGUUGCUUAAUUAGUUAGUUGGCUCUGUGUUGUAGCACUUGCCUGUCUGUGAUCUUUGAUUGAGCAUAUGCUAUCAGCUAUUAGUUUAUUUACAGAUGGCGAAUGGAAUACCAAUUAACAAAGAAAAGCAAAAUCCAUUGCUUGAAAAUUAUUGUUUGAUCUUAUUAUUUGCUUGGUUUUACAUCAAUGGAUGACUACCAAAGCACCUUUACUUGAUGGAUUUUAUGAUUUUACGUCAUUGUGUGCUAACUAAAACAUCUUCCAUUUUAUCUAUUUUAUUUUGCUAAACCACCAGCUUUUUUGCUAUUCAUUAAUGGUUUGAUUCUCAUAUGCAUCUGGUAUUCCUUUUGUAGUUAUUUUUGAAUAUUUGUGCCAUAAUGUGGAUAUUAUCUAUCUGGACAAUCACCAAAAAGGAACCGGGACAAGAGUAAACUGACAAGUAUGAAGUUCAUAAAAUAAUGUGAUUUGACUCUGAUUUGCUGUUGGUCAUGAAUCUUUAUGUAAACACAUUAGCAUCCUUUUUUUCUUUUUGAAUAAAGAAUUCCAGUGGUGAAAAAGAAGGUUAAACACCUACCAUGUUGCACAACGGGUGACACAAAAUGUAACACAAUUAAUAUUCUUCACUACUAUAUAACCCAUAUUUUUGCUGGGCCAAAUUCUUAAGUCACUAAUAAAACGUGUAUAAAAAAAUCUUGCUAUAACUUGUGUUGUUUUGGCAGGACCAUUGGAUGUGGGAGUUCGUAUGAUUUAUUUGGUAUUGUUGUGAACUUGGGAUGAAAAAGCUGUAAUAAUUGCAUUACCAGACUAAUAAAAAUACAGUUGUGUUGAAUGUAACAAACCACUGACAGAAACAUUACAGCCAUAUAUGGCUUCUGCCUUUUGAUUUAAUGAAGUUAAUGCCUUGCACACUUUCAUAUGGUCAUUGAACAAUUGAAUAAAUUUAUUGGUUGGGGGAAUGUAUGAUGAGUUUGUAGAGGAAGUUUUUAUCCCCUUUAAGAUGGGCUUUUCUUAUUCCUUUUUUUUUUUUUUUUUUUCAAUUUUCUCUCUCAUUUAUGCUGAUUAUAUGAUGUUGUGAAUACAGGGUCCCUAAGGAUGUGAACUCCAUGUGAAUUUUGGAGAGCAUUUCAGGAGUAGAUGCAAGUAGCAAACAUCUGAGGAGUACGGUGGCGUUUCAAAUCCUUCUCACUUGUUUUGAUAACAAGGUUGCUCAUAUCCUUAUGCAAUUGCAGGUCAAAUAUGUGUGCUUACAUAUAAGAUCACACAAGAUGUUUCGGUUUCAUCAGCAAGUUUUUGGUAUAAUCCCGUUGAUUCAUGCGAUUGCUUUAAAUAAAUAGUAACCCAAUUUAACUCUCUUCUUGGUAGGUAAGUGCACACACCUGAACAACUCACACACCCACCCACCCACCCACCCCUGGACUUGGGGUACGUGACCAGUAUGUAUCCAAGCCUGAAACAUAGCAUAUUCCCGAACAGCAUUGCACAGACACUGCUAAAUAUUCACAUUAUCUAGUGUUCCUAUUUCAUUUUAUAGUGUAAAAUAAUGUUUUGUGUUACCUAGUGUGUAAUAUAGGCAUUUCACAUGUCUGAAGCAAUAAUAUAAUAAAAUGAAUAAUUGGAUAUGCUUUUUAGUUGCAUGUUCAAUUAAAAGUAUCGGACACAAAUACCAUACUCAUGUCCAUGUACUGUGUGUAACACGGCUGCUUCUAAGUUCUAACUACUUUUAAAGAGUCCACGUAGCAUACCGAGCUUCAAGAACUCUACAUGGGUUUUAUUUGAAGAAGUAGCUCGUCAGGAUCCAAUGAUGACUGGAUUCUUGGAUCAUCAAAGACAAGUGACCGAGAUCGUUCAGGGUGGAGGAAAGACAUUCGUCUUGAGUCCUGAGGUUCCAAUACCCUCGAAUGAGGAAAUAGCUGCUGCUUGAGAGCGAUUGCACCCACUCACUGUUGCUCAAAUGGGUACUUGAUCCAUUAUCCUCUUUUUCUCAUAUAAUUCAGCCCAACAUCCAUGGCUAGUUGAUUGCAUAUGCCAGCUAGAUAAGCCUCUUGAUAUUCCAAUUUGUUUCUACUAUAAUAUGUUAAUGAUAAUUUCCGUGUAUAUAUUUUCAUGUCAUCUCCUCAGGAUACUGAAGCGGAGGAGAUCCCACAUUUAUUGUGAAGGACAAAAAUUAUGAUCUUUUUAAAAUGUAUGUUCACUUGGUUCUUACUGAGAACUGGCUUUUAUAUAAAUCAUAUGUUGGAAGACAAGCCAGUGAUAUAUUGUGCAGUGUUUUUCUAAGGAACUGUUCUUGUUAAAUAACCAGAACAGAUUUGAAGUUAUAUGUUAAUCGAAGGUCAGGUUCGUGGUAAGGCUUCUUAUCUUCUGCAAGGCACUGGCAACAAAUGAUUGCUGUUAACUAAGAACUUUGAUACUAAUUGUGUAACUCAAUUAGUUUUAUAAUGCCUGUUUUAUGUAUUUGUAUCUAAGUCACUGAAUUUGUUACCCUGUCUAGGUAUUUUGCGUACCGCAAAUUUUCUUUUCGAAAAUGGAGUGCUUGUGCCGCUC